AUGAACACUUCUCUAGGACCAUUGACUGUGCUAUUCUUAAUGCUAGGGGGGAGCAAUGGAGAUUCGGUGACCCAGACUGAAGGCCAAGUGACCUUUUUUGAAGGGGCUUCGCUGACUGUGAACUGCUCCUAUGAAAGUGCACAGUACCCUGCCCUUUUCUGGUAUGUCCAGUAUCCUGGGCAAGGUCCACAGCUCCUCCUGAGAGCCACGAAAGCCAAUGAGAAGGGAAGCAACAGAGGUUUUGAAGCCUUGUACAAUAAAGACAGCAGCUCCUUCCACUUGGAGAAAUCCUCAGUGCAAGAGUCCGACUCGGCCGUGUACUACUGUGCUCUGAGUGACACAGUGACAGGGACUGCAGGGGGAGCUGAGCACAAACUCUGA